AAUGUGUCCAAUAUUGUCAGUCUGUAUAAAAUUGUGGCAUAACACAAUAUAUAUAUAUAUAGUGACAGUGACAUUAUUAGCAAAAAUAUAUUUCAACAAUGAAUGAACUCCCUGUGGAUACAACAAAGAAUGUCCAGAUGUCUGUAGUAAAGCACCUGGGAUGUCAUGGCCUGUUACAACAGGUUAACACCGCUGACUAAUGGGCUCUUCUCAAACAUCGUUUCACCCUCUGGAAUGUGGUCUUUUUUCUAAAUUCCAACCACAUUGAUAAGGUAAGGCAAUUUACCAAAGCACAUAGAAAAACUUUGAAACCAUUGAUGCAAUACAAAUGAACAGAAAUGCUAUUUCCUCAUGCAGAAAAAAUGUUUCCCCCCUACAUCACAUAAAAUAGUUAAAAUUACAAUCAAGUGCACCAAAACAGGUGUAAAUGAUUAGAGAGUAACAUGGGAGGGUCCAGCCUUCCGUAAUGAUUAGAAACUUGGUUUUGGUCAGGUUUGGUCUUAACCAUAUAGGUGUGUGGCAACACAUCAUGCCAAGAUCAAAAGCCCUAUCCGAGGCCCUCAGAAGAAAGGUUAUUAAUGCCCAUGAGCCUGGGAGUGGUUACAAAGCUAUUACCAAGCAAUUCAAAGUAAACAAUUCCACUAGGGGUGUGAUUAUUUUUUUCUGCACCAUGAAAUUGCAUUUCUGUAGAUUUUUUUCAUUAAAAAAAAAACAUUGCAAAGUUUAAAUCUUUCAGUGUCAGAUUGUUACAAAAAAGUUUACCUUAAUCUUCCAAUAUCAUUGAAUUAUACAAUACGUAAAAAAAAAUACAAAUUUCCAGUGGGUGUAAUUACUUUUUCACAUGACUGUAUCACAAACAUACCUAACAGACCUCAUAAAAUACAGAGCAUUUCAAAAGUCUCCUUUUCACAAAGCAGAGAGAGGUCCAUGCAGUCCUGUGGAAUGUGUGUGUUGGUGUGUUAGGACUUGCCAUGUAUGAUCUUGGGGCAUGUUUCUGGUGGUAUACAGUGGUUGUUAUGUAGUACCAGUCCAGCAGGACACUGGCAUCCGGGAACACAGGGUUUAAAACAGUGGCUCUCUAUCACCCCUAGUGGCACGUCCCGGUUAACACAUGUCACUGGACAUGGAGGACCACACUCAUCAAACAGGAAACCACGCUCCGCGGGACAGCCCACCGC
ensembl:lncRNA